GUAGUGAGGCCUGCACCGUGUGACCACGAACUCAUCAGCAACGCCCCUAACAGUCAGUCUCGUGAGAGCUGCUGCAACAGCUCUGCGCAUGUCCUGCAUCCCUUCACGCAGGCGGUGGCAGCAUCGGAAGGGUCAUUUUUGAUGUUAAUGUGUCCCUUCAACAUUGCCCGGAGUAUAUGAGCAUGGCCUGAGAACACAGGGUGCUGGUGGCUAUGAUUGUGGCAACGAUGGAGUGAUAAGAUCAAUGCAUCACUUCCCAUUGGUCCUUCAGUGGUUUUAUCUGUGAGUCCAUGGCAAUGCUGCUGAUAAGAUUCCAUGGAAAUAAAAUGUGUCUUGUACAAAUAAUAUACAUAAUGGCAGUAUGGCUUGGGAGAUUGAAGUAUAGAAGACACAGCAAUCUCACAAAGACAACAUGGACAAAUUAUUUGCUUGAUGCUAUGGAAAUACUGUUACAUGCUCUGAAAGCUAUGUAUCCUGAAAACACCAUAUAAGGUGGGAUUCUAUUGAAUCACAAAGCCUGGAAUUCAAUCUGUUUGAAGGGCAUGAGCUGGGAAUAAGAAAUGAAAUUGAUUUGGCCCAAUACUUGCUACAUUUCAAAUGCUGUCCAUCAAACUUUCCUGAGAAGUGCUAUAAGAAGAUGUUUGCUGUGGGACAAUAAAUGAGUUCCUGCUUGACUAGAUUCCCUGCUGCAUCUGAUUAUCUCCUGUAACCCUUUCCAGUAUCCCUGGAGACUGGGGAACAGGCAACCAGAGCAUUUACCCUUCAUUGAACCCUGCUCAGCCUUCCAUGGUUGGGCUAAGACCCAGAAUCUGUUACUCUCAACAUGGGACCUGAAAGGCCUACAUCUCAGCCAAGGCUAAGCAGUCUCUCAGGUUUCCCCCUCAACAUGCCCUCCUUGGUUCCAUCUGAGCCCAUCCCAGAAGCCAUUUGCAUCUUCACUGAUGGGGACCAAGCAGGCUCUGCCUACGUUGCCUUUGGAGGAUACGAAGAAACAUCUAGUCACCAAAGAUUUCAACCCUGCCACUGUUGUGCUCAAUAUAUGGAAAUGCUGGCAGUGAUGCUGGUAUUACAGGACAUCUUCAAGCCCUGCAAUCUUUCUUCAGACUGUCUUUAUGUGGUUAACUUACAUACCCAUUUCCCACAAUCAUACAUCUGGUUAGAUAAUAACCCCAUAUUCCCCCUCAUGGUGGCUCUUAAGGCUCUUUUAGAGUGAAAAUAGGCACCAAUUUACCUUCAACCCCUUUGAGGACUCUCCAGUCUCCCAGGGUUCCUGAUGAAGAUCACUUCAUGGGCAGAUAGACUGGUGACAGCCCAAGAGGCACUAACCCAACAGGAAGCCACCCAAUUGCAUGAUAUGACCCAUGCCAAUUGCAGGGAACUACAUAAUAGAUUCUCAAAGUUUCCUAUAAAAGAACUAAAACAGAUAGUUCACACAGGAAAAUCAUGUCAACCAUAUCUAAGAGUUUUCCUUCUACAGAUGCCAGGAGUUAACCCUAGAGGCCUACCACCCAAUAUCCUCUGGCAAACCAAUGUUAUUCAUUUUCCAUCUUUUGGCAAACAGAAGUAUGUUUUUGUCUCCAUAGACAUUUAUUCAGGGGCCUGUUUGGCCACUGAAUAUAUGGGGAAAAGUCCACUUCCUCUAGUGUUUCACAACCCUAGGAUCACGCACACAGGUUAAGACUGAUAAUGGCCGUUGCAUUGCCAAUAAUUCCAUUGCAGAAUGUUUCAAUACAUGGCACAUCAAACAUACUACAGGGAGCCCUUACAACCCUCAGGGACAAGCAAUUGUAGAAAGAAACCACUAAUGUCUUGAAGAACAACUUUUUUUUUACAUUCUGUGGUAGAUCUAUUUAAAGUUCUAUAAACAUGCAAAUCUAUUUCUUAGUUUCAGUGGGACUUAUCAUUUGCCAUAAAUCUGGAGGACUCUUCCACAUCUGGGAUUAAAAAAUGAACAGAAAGAAAGAGAUCUGGAUCAUACUUAAAUUAAUCAGUAUUAAUAGUUCAUCCAGAUUCAUUUAAGCUUGUCUGAGAGUUCAGUAUAGUUGGCUAUUAUUAUUAAAAAACUUGGAAGGUACAUCUAUUGAACUUACCAUAUGUUUCUUUAUUACUUUCCCCUACUUACAAUUCAUUCAGUAAAGCAACCAGUACUAUAAAGUGAGGUCUUGUUACUGUGAUCUCAUGAGCAGUCUUAGUAGUAUCAAUGACAAUUUACAAAUAAGAACAUCCUUUUUAUAACCUUAUUCAAAAAUGAAUUUCUUCAUUCUUUGACAGCGUAAAUAUUGGAAAAUAUUGUUAAGUUUUUCAUUGUUAAUAACCAAUUCUAUCAAAUUCCAAACCUGAAGCAACAGAAGAGCUUUGAAUUAUCUGCUGAAUCCUCUUGCUUUUCUCUGUCCUCAAUCACAAUCCCAGUACAACAUAGGGUCCUUCAAAAUAAAGAUAGCAUAUUAUUUUCUUCUCUUGUUACCAAUAAAAUACUCAGAUCAAAGCAAAGUUAAUAAAUGAAGCGUUUAUUUCAGCUUACACUAUGUUGAUGAUUAACCCGCUCUAAUAUAUUCUAUCAUCCUACCUAGUAUAUGUUCCUGAUCAUAGUAUUGUGGUUGUCUCCAAGAAAAUACCCCUCAACAUACCCAAAUGCCUGACUCCAAGGUGAAUUUAUCUUCUGUCAAGUUGACAAUAAAUAAUGAUGAUUACAGACAGAUAAAUUUUUUUUUUGGUUUUUGCUGGUAGCCCAUUCAUUUUAAA